UACAGAGGGAGGGCAAGCGUUGUUCGGAAUUACUGGGCGUAAAGGGCGCGUAGGCGGCCUGCUAAGUCGAACGUGAAAUCCCUGGGCUCAACCCAGGAACUGCGUCCGAUACUGGUUGGCUUGAAUCCGGGAGAGGGAUGUGGAAUUCCAGGUGUAGCGGUGAAAUGCGUAGAUAUCUGGAGGAACACCGGUGGCGAAGGCGGCAUCCUGGACCAAUAUUGACGCUGAGGAGCGAAAGCCAAGGGAGCAAACGGG
rnacentral:rRNA from 1 species